UGGGGUGUUGUUCAGUGGUAGAGUGUUUGCCUAGCAUGCAUAAGAUCCUGGGUUAAACCCCCAGCACCACAA
rnacentral:tRNA from 1 species